UGCAAGUUGGGUCUCGGUCCCUAUGUGAAGUUUGAGUCACAUUAGUAAAAAAAUGUUUUUGACUGCCUUUAACGAGGAAAAAGAGUGUCGCAAUUCAGCUUUUCUUUGCAAAUCGAUAUUGCCAAGCAACAUGACUCUAUCAAAACUGUCGCUGUGGCCACACCAGGCGUGUUAAAGUCUGGACCUCCUCGAAGACCUCACACUGAUAGGCCUCUCUCCCUUUCUUCUGCCCUCUAUUCUUCAUUAUCUAAUUCAAGUGUCAGUUUUCAGCCGGCGCCUGCGUUGACCCUUUCUUCUGCCGUUGUCUCUGCUCAGCGGGGCAGGAUGCCUCCCACUUAAUCGUUGAUCCAAUUAGUUUGGGAAACCUUUCUCUGCUUCUUUACAUGAAUGAAGGGCACUGAAUAAAAAUGUGCAACAAAAGAACACACACCUGGCAUCUCUAUGCCCCAUUCAGUAUUGGGAGCACAAGGAGAACACUGCACUGCGCUACACAGCUAUUCCCUUCAAGAACAUUGUUAGGUGAAGCAAAUCAGCCAAUCAUCAGGAGCAAUUUGGAGUGCAGUAUCUUGCUCAAGGACGCUUCAGCAUGCAGCUAGGAGGAGCUGGGAUCCAAACCUUCCGAUUACUAGACGACCCUCUCUACCUCCUGAGCUACAGUGUAGGCAGGUGCCAAGUCCUGCUGGAAAAUUGAAAUCAGCAUCUCCAUGAAGCAGAAGGAAGCAUGAAGUGACCUGAAAUUUCCUGGUAGAUGACUGUGUUGACUUUGGACUUGAUAAAACACAGUGAACCAACACCAGAAGAUGACAUGGCUCCCCAAAUCAUCACUGACGGUGGAAAUCUCACACUGGACUUGAAGCAACUUGGAUUCUGUGCCUCUCUACGCUUCCUCUAGACCCUGGGACCUUGAUUUCCAAAUGAAAUACAAAAUUUAGUUCCAUCUGAAAGAGGACUUUGGACCACUGAUUGACAGA